AAUUAAGCGGAGGAAAAGAAACUAACUAGGAUUCCCUUAGUAGCUUCGAGCGAAGAGGGAAGAGCCCAGCACUGAAUCCCGCGGUUGUAUACAGCCGCUGGGAAAUGUAGUGUUUGGGAGGAUCCGUUAUCCCGCAUUAGAGCGACGCGUCCAAGUCCUUUUUGAACGAGGCCAUCGCCCAAAGACGGUGCCAGGCCGGUAGUGGCCGUCGUCUUUUGCGGGAGGAUUUCUCCUUAGAGUCGGGUUGCUUGAGAGUGCAGCCCUAAGUGGGUGGUAAACUCCAUCUAAGGCUAAAUAUAACCACGAGACCGAUAGCGAACAAGUACCGUGAGGGAAAGUUGAAAAGAACUUUGAAGAGAGAGUUCAAUAGUACGUGAAACCGUUCAGGGGUAAACCUGAGAAACCCGAAAGUUUGAACGGAGAAAUUCAGCGUGUUUCGUGUGGUGGCUAGAAGUGGUCGUGUGACGGGUAGACGUGCGCGUCAUCCUGCUCCUUUCAUUUUUCGAACCACCUGCGUACGCGUGCACUUUUCUCCAAGUAAAACGUCGCGAUCCGUUGGGUGUCGGUGUAAGAGCUGCGGUGCUGACCUUGUGACCAUCGUUUGUCGCCUGGUGCCGUGGACUUCUCAUACCGGCUCGCUCGACGGUGUAACGGAUGGCGCGUGGCCGCGUUAUCGCGUCCUGCCCGCGGCAAGCUAACGCUCGUGUCGGUUAAUCGGACCCAGUGCCGGUGCUGAACGUGUGUUGCUGUUUGUGCGCUGUGGCUUGGACAGACCGCGUCUCGCCUAUCUGCGACGCUAUUGCUUUGGGUACUUUCAGGACCCGUCUUGAAACACGGACCAAGAAGUCUAGCGUGUACGCGAGUCAUUGGGCAUAUAUUAAACCUAAAGGCGUAAUGAAAGUGAAGAUUUGUCUAGCGCAAAUCUAGGGAAGAUGGGCGGUCAAUAUAGAUCGCUCCGCAUUCCCGGGGCGUCUCGUUCUCAUUGCGAGAUGAGGCGCACCAAGAGCGUACGCGCUGGGACCCGAAAGAUGGUGAACUAUGCCUGGUCAGGACGAAGUCAGGGGAAACCCUGAUGGAGGUCCGUAGCGAUUCUGACGUGCAAAUCGAUCGUCGGAACUGGGUAUAGGGGCGAAAGACUAAUCGAACCAUCUAGUAGCUGGUUCCCUCCGAAGUUUCCCUCAGGAUAGCUGGCGCUCGUCGUAGACGAGUCUCAUCUGGUAAAGCGAAUGAUUAGAGGCAUUGGGGUCGAAACGGCCUCAACCUAUUCUCAAACUUUAAAUGGGUGAGAUCUCCGGCUUGCUUGAUCAACGAUCGUGAAGCUGUGAGAUUUCGGAUCAGAGUGCCAAGUGGGCCAUUUUUGGUAAGCAGAACUGGCGCUGUGGGAUGAACCAAACGCCGAGUUAAAGCGCCAAAAUCGACGCUAAUGGGACACCAUGAAAGGCGUUGGUAACUUAAGACAGCAGGGCGGUGGCCAUGGAAGUCGGAAUCCGCUAAGGAGUGUGUAACAACUCACCUGCCGAAGUUACUAGCCCUGAAAAUGGAUGGCGCUGAAGCGUCGUGCUUAUACUCGGCCGUCAGAGGCAUGUGCGAUCGAUGUGCGGUCAUGAAGCCCUGACGAGUAGGAGGGUCGCGGCGGUGAGCGCAGAAGGAUUGGCCGUGAGGCCGUCUGGAGCCGCCGUCGGUGCAGAUCUUGGUGGUAGUAGCAAAUACUCCAGCGAGGCCCUGGAGGACUGAUGUGGAGAAGGGUUUCGUGUGAACAGCCGUUGCACACGAGUCAGUCGAUCCUAAGCCCUAGGCGAAAGCCGAAACGAUGCGAUGUUGUUACAUGGUCAAUAUAUACUUUUUUUGUACACAUCCGUCGGGCGAAAGGGAAUCCGGUUCCUAUUCCGGAACCCGGCAGCGGAACCGUUUUAAAGUCGGGCCCUCUUAUGAGAGUUCGUCGGGGUAACCCAAAAUGUCCCGGAGACGCCGUCGGGAGAUCCGGGAAGAGUUUUCUUUUCUGCAUAAGCGUUCGAGUUCCAUGGAAUCCUCUAGCAGGGAGAUAUGGUUUGGAACGCGAAGAGCACCGCAUUUGCAGCGGUGUCCGGAUCUUCCCCUCGGACCUUGAAAAUCCGGGAGAGGGCCACGUGGAGGUGUCGCGCCGGCUCGUACCCAUAUCCGCAGCAGGUCUCCAAGGUAAAG
rnacentral:rRNA from 1 species